UGGGGAAUCUGAAGCAUAACUUUGGUGAAAGCAAUAGCAAAAGGAUUACCAGGUGGAUUUGCAGGAGGUUUUAUUUAUGUUGUCGAAAGCAUCUAAGAAUUUUAUCCUGAAAUAUUGCAGUAUUUUAAUGAUCAUCGGAUGGUGGUAGCUUGCCCAUGCAGCAAAUCUAGGAUCUAAUAAUGGAAUCUAUUAAGUGAAAGACUUCAUUUUGAGAACAUAUCCCAUGCUUAAGAGGACCUGGGUGCUAUUUUUGUUUGUUAGCAAAUGGUUGCAAACUUGCAGUUUGUCCUUUUGGGCGGUUAGAGCCGUGUUUCAGAGUAGUCUAUGUUGGUAGAAUAUUUCCUUCCUUCUCUGUUCAGUUUAUAUGUUUAUUUGGUAUUCUCUCUCCACCCUACUACUAUCUGUUCUGAUGUCAAAUCGUUGUUAUAUUUCAAUGUUAUCUCAAUCUGGUUGGUUUGACUGAUACUUUCUGUUUCAAUAUUUUGCACGAGAAGUAGAAGUUUGCAUGGUAAGCUGUCUAUGCCUAUAAUUAUGAAGUAUCUUUGAUUCUUUCUUUACUUGCAGGAUGGGCAUGACUCUGAGAAUUCAAAACAAAGUACUGCUGACAUGACUGUUUUUGUAAGUUCUAUAAGCUCUGUGAAGUUGCCAGAUAACUUGUUCUUUGGUAUUUAUUUUUUUUAUCUCAGUGGAUUAGCUAUGUAUUUCUGCUCUAUAAUAGCAUCUACUUAGUUGAAUAUGGCAAUGGGGAUGUUUAAGGAUGAGAUGCUGCAAGAUAGAUUUGGAAUUGAAAGAUCUCGCUCUCAUUCUUAACUGCUUCUGCAAAGCAUUACAGUGGUUUUGUCAGUAUAAAUAUUCUAUUAUAUACACCCAAGCACAAACGAAAGCGUACUUGGGAAGGCCAGUGACUGCAAGAGGGAAAAGCUAACAUAUUUGAUUCACAGGAUUUAUGUGGAUUCAAUUUCUCUAGUGUCAGCGAAGCCUCUACAGGCUACUAGAUAUUAUAUAAAUAAUUGAAUUUAAAGGGACUUAUGCAGGAUUAGAAAAUUUCACAGGCUUAAAUGUCCGUAUUACAUGAGAUUCUGCUUUUUUGAAUUUCGACAUGAUAUACUUUUAAUAUGUUCUAACUUGUUAUUUUACGUUUUCAGGUGCAAAACCUCCUCCAACAAAUGGUGAGUUAUUAGCAUAUCAAGUUGAAUUCUGCAUUACAGAACAUUAACAUACAAGUAUUUUUAUUUUUGCAGCAAACCAGGUUUCAGGCUAUGUCUGAGUCCAUCAUCAGUAAAAAUAUCCUUUUAAAGCUCUUUUACUCUAUAUUGCAUUCUUUUUUAUAAAUAAUACCACUGUUACUAUUGUUUGGGAUAAUAUGGGGGAACAAAAAUUACAGCAGUCAACAAUUGAGUACAUGCCACCAUUAAAAAGUACUACCACAUGAUGUUUUUUAUGCUAAUCACACUGAAACAUUCCCAUAAUAAUAAACAAAUUAAUGUCCACAUGAUUUAUCUUUAUCAGGUGAUUGAUACGUAUAAGCUCACUAAUUCCUUAACUUCGUCUUACUUGAUGAGAUGGGGAACAGGAUCGAUGAAUUGGAGCAGAGUAUCAAUGACCUUAAAGCUGAAAUGGGUCAAGAGGGGUCUCCGUCCCCUUCAGCUUCUCUGAAAGCAAGAGAAGAUUCCAAGUCAGCUGACGAUUCUGCUUAAAACAUGCCUCAUAUAUUGUAUUGGCUUGUCUGGUUUGUGUUACUUUUUAUGAUUUGAGAUAUAAUGCUUCUAUUUUACCCUUGACCACUGUAUGAAUCUCAUUUUACAGCUCCAAUUAUUUAUCCUGGAGUCAUUUGAAAACACUCUAGUUCGAUUUUUUUAUGUACAUUUUGUUUGCUUCUUUCGUUUGUAUGUUUCCGAGCAGCCUGCCUUUUUUGAUCUUGAGUUCACUUACCUUGUGUCGAAUCUGAAUAACUUUUUGGAAUUUCGAGGCUUCAUAGCUAUGUUUCAAGGCUUCAUAUUUAUUUUUUACCUUUUUUUUGUGUGAGACAAAAUUCACAGUAAACUUGAUGAAUAAUGAAGAGGAUUGACAACGAAG
rnacentral:lncRNA from 1 species